UCGUCUUCCACCUCUGCCCAGGCUCUCAAUCUUGAUAUCUCUAGCUCGUGCAGCUCUGAACUUGUUUUGUUGGUUGUCAUCUAACCAUCGUUCGAUCUGCCACCUGGUGCAUGGUGGAUGCCUGGGUGCAUGGCGAUUGCGCCAACACGCAGACGGUGAUGAUGGUUAGAUGACCAUCAGCAAACAUGUUCAUGAGACAUGCGUCCUGAGCUCGUCAUGUUUGCUCCGUGAUCUUGGAUGGUUGAUGCGUGCCGACAUGGAUUCCAUGAUGACGCGGGUGAAGGUAGGUGAAUUCAUAUAUGUUUGAUUCGGUUUGUGUCGCUGUGUGCAUGCAACGCAGGAAUUUUUAUACUCUAUGAUUCAGUUCCUCACUUGCCGAAACAUCAAAAUUCCUGGGUCGCGAUGAGUUCCACCUACAAACUGGCACAAGAGAAUCACAGUUUUCUUCAAUCACCAUUGGGGUAGAGGAUUUCCACCUGAAUAUGUCAAGUGUCAGGCGCAAGGAGAGGUAUUGCUGCCAAAGAUCAAAGUCCGCUACAACGUUCGAGAUGGUUACAAAGGAGGCGUGCGAGACAUCACGGAACAUCUUUGCGUUCAUGGAAUCUCAAAAUUUUCAAUGAAUUGAUAGGGCAAUCGAUACCCAGAUGCCGUUGUCACGGCCAUUUGGGUUUGCGGUGUCCCAAAUCUGCGGCACGGAGUUGGAGCUCGUGAUGCCAAAGUCAAUCCAGACAGGCGUUGCAACAAUGGCACAUGUUGUUAGCGUGAUGUGCUUGUGAAAGGUUUGCCUAGGAGUUGAGCAAGUCAUGGAAGAGCAAUCUCGGUAACGCAUAUUGAAAUGAAUAUUUCAGAUUGGGCGACUUUGUAGGAUUUGAACCUUGUACGUAAUUUUCCUAGGCGCCUUUGGAAUAAGGGAAUGCCACCUUGGAAUUCUAUGAAGCUCAUGUGGGAUGACCCGUUAUAUAUGGAUUUUCGAGGAAAA